CCCAUCCAUUUCUACUGAAAACCAGUCUCAAAGCUCUCUCUCUCUCUCUUUUUUUUUUGUUACCGGGGAGAAGCUGAAAUGUUUCGAUCAGUUUGGUAUAAAUUAGGUGCAAAUCUGAAGAGGACGCCUGCCAUCAUCUAUGGAGAAUCUUCUUCUUCUUCAUUAGCACCAACAGCAGCUAAGUAUUCUCACCUUACAUAAACUAGGAUUACUUCAAUCUUCUUCUCUUCCUUCUGUACUGAUACUAGUAAUAAUGGUGAUCUUACUUCUUCUGAUUCUGAUUCUUCAUUUGUGGUUUCUUAUCUGAUUAAUUCAUGUGGAUUGUCUGAAUCUGAAGCAAUUUCUACCUCUGAAAAACUCAAUUUCAAAACCACAACCAAACCAGAUUCAGUCUUAACAUUACUGAAAGCAUACGGAUUCACUGAACUCCACAUUUCUAAGAUAAUCACUAAGCAUCCGUCCAUUCUCUCAUCUGAUCCUCAUAAUACCCUAAAACCAAAAUUAGAUUUUUUCAAAUCCAAAGGGCUUUAUGGAACUGACCUGGCUGAUUUCUUCUCAAUUGGCCCGAGGAUCCUGAUGAACAGUUUCAGUAAAGUAAUAAUCCCUUCUUUCGAUACCCUUAAGGGCAUUUUAGACUCUGAUGAAAACGUCAUUAAAAUGAUUAAGCGUAAUUCUUGGAUUCUCAGUACAUGCGGGGUCGAAAAUGUGAUGGUCAAUAUAGAGCUUUUGAGAAAUCAAGGCGUCCCUGAAACUAAAAUAACUAAUUAUCUGAUCUGGCAUUCUAGAGUUUUUACUCAAGAUGCCGAUAAAUUUAGAAAGAUUGUAGAAAAGACUAAAGAAAUGGGUUUUAAUCCCUUAUAUACGACAUUUCUUGUAGCUAUCCAUGCACUGGCAUCAAUGACUGAAGUCAAUUGGAAAAAUAAGAUGGAUGUUUACAAGAGAUGGGGUUGGUCUGAGGCUCAAAUUCAAGCAGCAUUUAGAAGGAAUCCUCGUUGUAUGAUGGCUUCUGAGAAAAAGAUUAUGGCAAUUAUGAGUUUCCUUGUGAAUGAAAUGGGUUAUGAUUCAUCAAGUGCUGCUGAAUCCCCAUUAAUUUUUGAUCGUAGCUUGAAAGGGAGGAUUAUCCCAAGGUGUUCUGUUACUAAGAUUCUAGUCUCCAAGGGUCUGAUUAAGGAACUGAUUCCAUUAAGUGCAGUUUCAGCAAUGAUAGAUGAGGCAUUUCUGGAGAAGUUUGUAUUAAAGUAUGAGCAACAAGUUCCCGGACUGAUGAAGUUAUUUAAAGGUCAGUUGAAUUGCCAUCAGCUACUUCAGAACUGAAAGAUUUUUACGAGAUGAAUGUGCAGUACCGGUAUUGUACACUAUCCGAAUUGACAUAUUUACAGCAUACAUAGUCCCUUCUGCUUUAUGCGUGCUUUGUUAUUUCCAAAGUAAAAAUUGCAAGACCUCUUAUGUCUGCAUGAAGAAUAUCUCUUAUCAUGGUGUAGUUGUUUGAAUCUUACUUACUGCCAUGUUUAUCUACAACUGCUAUCUAGGGUUCAUCAAUUUAGAUUGUGAAACUAAAGGGUAUCAAAUUUGGGCUGGGUAUUUCUCAGUAGAGAUAAAGGAAGCAUAUAAUGGUUCUGUGUAUUUUGUGGGUACAUGGUAGGAUAGAAAAUGGGAUGAACGAAAGCUUCACAAAGUUCCGCUGUAUGCUCAGUUAUGAUUUUUAUUUCAUUAUCAGUGUAUGGUCUGGCAAAAUGGCCUUCGCUUAAUAAGCUAUUGUACUGCGACUAAGCUAUUUGCAAUCAGCCCUCUCCACCUCCUGCAGCAUCAACAUAUUUGUCAUUGCUGCUCGGAGAACUGCGCGUCUUCGUGGACAGGCUGUUGCUAGAGUUGCCAAAGCAGACAAAGCACAAGUCUUGUCGUCAUAUUGUCUGUUUUACUGGUUUAGUUUGUUUGAGUAUCUUGAGUAAUUUUUCUUUUGUUAACUUGAAUUCGCUUCGUUUUAAUAGGAUCUAAGUUGGGUUGGGAAGAUUUUAUGUGUUUCCUCUAUUCAUGAAUGUUUUUGUGAAAGUGCCUAACUGGUGUUUCUGAAUUUGACUAACUGGUGUUUGCCAAAGUUUGUAGUUUAAUUUAAAAAUGAUCUGGUGUUGAAUUAUUUAGAUAACUUUGAUGCACAUGCACCAAAGAGGGGCUUUAUCUAUUUCAUGGUUUUUGUGUACUAGGUAUUGUAGUAUAAAACAUAAAUCGAGUCAGGUAAGUUAUUUAUUUACCCUAUGUGCGAUGUGUAUCAAUGUAACUGACAUGUGGAAAGCAUAUGCCGGUUCUGAGGAGGUUGGUGUUGUUAUGAAUGAUUAAAGGAAGCUUAGUGCGGUCGAUACCUUUUUUCCUUGGGAAAGAUUAGGACUGUUCAGUUGGAGCACACUAAUGCGAAAGAGAACCUCCUGAAAGCUUCUUGUAAAGCUCCAGUUGGAACCCUUGGGGGAAAUUCAAUUGCUAUUGGGGGAAAUUCCAGAGAGAACUGUCUUCAUGCAGGAAUGCAUGAAACAGUUUUGAGGCCAUAAUUUGAGCUUGCAAAAGUGAGUCCGACUCUUCAAACUUGCACUAAAUGAGGCUGUUCGUACAGGUGAUUUGGAGUUGUUAAGGAAUGUUGCAGAUAGGUUUGCAAGUACUUUCAGCUCAGCAGGACUCUCAAUUUGAUUGUGAGGUUGCGAUAUAAUGUCAUCAGGACAGGGCUUCGCAGUAUAAGCAUCUCUUUCUUAUGAACUGAGGUUUUAUCUCACCAAAUCCUGUGGCGGAUGUUGAGAACGUUGUAGCCAAGGCAAUCCGAGAUGGUGCCAUUUAUGCAACUUUGGACCGUGCAAUUGGCUGGGACUGGGGAUGUUUACUCCACAAAUGAACCUCAAGCUGCUUUCAACUCGAGGAAUGCCUUCUGUGCGCUCACUGCGAUUCCCUCCAAAUUGACAUAAAAAGGGAAACGGAAAGUGCAGAAAAUAGGAGGGAAACACACCAACAGGAGCAGUUGCAGGGGCUUGCAAAACAUAUUUGCCGCGGAGGGUGGGAUGAGUUCUAAUUCUCACCGGUCUGCUUUUGUCAACUUGUUACCGAGACGGUACCAUAUCCGGAAAAACAGGUCUUGGUGGGUUUUAAAAUAAAAUAAAAAUGAUACUCCCUCCGUCCCACUAAUAAGUGACCUACAUCACUAAAUAAGGAGAUAUUUCUAAAAUUAUCCUUUUAAUUGAUUAUAAGAAAUAUGCAUAAUUUGAUAGUCGUGUUUAUACGUGUUUUAAAAUGUUUUUCAAUAAUACUAAGUUUGCGAAUAGAUAAAUCAUUUUAAAAUUUCACUAUUAAUUAUCCAUAAAUGGUAUAAUUAUAAAAAAUGCUUAAAAAUACUUUUUCUCUUACUUGCUUUAAAAAUUGUGUAAACUUAAACUAGGUUACUUAAUAGUGGGACAGAGGGAGUAUAUAAUCAUUUUUCAAUUUAUGAAGUCUAUAAACAUAAACUGAUAACCAUAAAUUUUACCAAAUGAAAAAUCUGUAGCAAUUUUAAAGUGAUAAACAACGAUGCAUAUAGGUAAAUGAUUUAUAUAAGUGAUAAACAACGAUCCUAACCAUUGAAGUGUUUACCAUAUACAAAUGUGGAUAUAGUCUUAUGGUUGCACGGUAAAUUCACCAGACUGGGACCACAACCUGUUGGUAAAAAGCAUGCGGUAAAAAUAUCAGGCUCGGAAUUCCACAGAUGUACAGUAAUAUUUUAUUUUAGGUUUUGGCUUUCCCUUUUCUUUUCCUCCCCCAUCCAUUUCUAGUUUUUCUUUUUUUUUUUUAAUUUAUUUAUUGAUUUCCCUUUUCUUCCCCCAUCUAUUUCUAGUGAAAACUGAAAACCAGUCUCAACGCUCCUUUUCUUUCAUUCAUUUUCAUUCCGGGGUGAAGCUCAAAUGUUUCGAUCAGUUUGGUGUAAAUUAGGUGCAAAUCUGAAGAGGGCGGUCAUCAAUGGAGAUUCUUCUUCUUCUUCAACAUUAUUAUUAGCACCAAAAGCAGCUAAGUAUUCUCACUUCACAGAAACUAGGGUUACUUCAAUCUUCUUUUCUUCCUUCUCUACCACUAGUAAUAAUAGUGAUCUUACUUCUUCUGAUUCUGAUUCUUCAUUUGUGGUUUUUAUCUGAUUAAUUCAUGUGGAUUGUCUGAAUCUGAAGCAAUUUCUACCUCUGAAAAACUCAAUUUCAAAACCACAACCAAACCAGAUUCAGUCUUAACAUUACUGAAAGCAUACGGAUUCACUGAACUCCACAUUUCUAAACUAAUCCCUAGAUACCCAGCCAUCCUCUCAUCAAAACCAGAUAAAACACUCAAACCCAGAUUCUAUUUUUUCAAAUCCAAAGGGAUUUAUGAACUUGACCUUGCCAACUUCAUCUUAAAACACCCAAUGAUCCUCAAGCAGAGCUUUGAUAAUGGAAUAGUACCUUCUUUUGAUAUCCUUAUGAGCAUUGUUCAGUCUGACCAAAACGUCAUUAAAAUUAUUAAACGAAAUUAUUGGAUUCUCAGUGCAAGCCAUGUUAGAAGAUUGAUGCUCAAUCUAGAGCUUUUGAGAAAUCAAGGUGUCCCUCAAACUAAAAUAUCUGUUUAUCUGAUCAAGCAACCUAGAGUUUUUGCUGGAGAUGCCAAUAGAUUUAGAAAGAUUGUAGAAAAGACUAAACAAAUGGGUUUUAAUCCAUUAAAUACUGCAUUUCUUGUAGCUAUACAUGGACUGGCAUCAAUGGCUGAAGUCAAUUGGAGAAAUAAGAUGGAUGUUUACAAGAGAUGGGGUUGGUCUGAAGAUCAUUAGCAUUUAGGAGGAAUCCUCGUUGUAUGAUGGCUUCUGAGAAAAAGAUUAUGGCAGUUAUGAGUUUCCUUGUCAACGAAAUGGGUUAUGAUUCAUCAAGUGCUGCUGAAUGCCCAUUAGUUAUUGAUUGUAGCUUGAAGUGGAGGAUUAUCCCAAGGUGUUCUGUUAUCAAGAUUCUAGUCUCCAAGGGUCUGAUUAAGGAACUGAUUCCAUUACGUGCACUUUCAACAAUGGUAGACGAGGCAUUUCUGGAGAAGUUUGUAUUCAAGUAUGAACAACAAGUUCCCGGACUAAUGAAGAUAUUCAAAGGUCAGUUGAAUUGCCAUCAGCUACUUCAGAACUGAUUGAUUUUUAUGAGAUGAAUGCGCAGUACUGGUACGCCUAUUAUCUGAAUUCACAUUUUUACCGUGCAUAUAGUCCCUUUUGGUUUAUGCAUGUUUUUGAAUUUACAAAGCAAAAAUUGCAUCCCCAUGUUUUUGACUUUACAUAGCAUGAAUCGCAUCACCUCUUAUGUAUGAACAGCAAGAAGAAUAUAUGUCAUCCUGGUGUAGGUGUUUGAAUCUGCAUUAUUGCCAUGUUUAUCUAUAAUUGCUGCAUAAGAUUUAUGAAUUUCAACUGUGAAACCAAAGGAUGUAUGGUGUGCCUUGAUAGAGAGAGAGGAAGCACAUAUGGGAUCUAUGUACUAUUUCAAAAUGGUAGGACAGAAAAUGGGGUAUAUGAAAGUUUUACGAGAAGAUUUGUUGUGUGCUUUAUUUUGAUAUUUUAUUUCAUUAGCAGUCUAUAGUCCGGUAACCAUCGAAUGGUCUAUUCAUUUUGCCCAAAAAACUAUCAAACUGCGACUAGCUAUUAUCAAUUAGUCAGAGUUCCACUUCCUGCAGCAUUCACAUAAUUGCCAUUGCUGCUAGCAGAACGGGGUGUCUUGAUGGACAGGCUGCUGCAAGAGCUGCUAAGGCUGUCAAAGCACUGAUGCCCAAGUCUAAUUAUCAUAUUGUCUGUUUUACUGUCUAGUUUUUUUUAGCAUCUUGAAUUUAACUUUCCUGGUCUCGGAUAUAAGAACUUAAAAAUAUUCUUUCUUAGUAAAUCCUGGGAGUGCUUAUAGAUCACAGAAAACCCCAUUGUGGACUGAUUGUGACAUUCUGUUAAGAAUUUGAGAGUUUUCCCGAAUCUAGAGGGUGUGGGAUAGAGGUUUUUCUGCAGUUAGAGAGUAAAAUCCUGGAUUCUGUUGCAUUUGGAGAGUUCAGGUCUUUCCUCAUAUAUGAAGAGACAGGUCUUUCCUCAUAUAUGAAGAGAUAGUUGGGUUUUUUGCUGCCGAUAAAGAUUGGAAGUUUGAAUUUUGGUGAAACUGAGAGAAGAAAAAAACAUGUGUCACAGAGAUGAAGCACUAGCAGCUCCCAGGUAUCCAGGCUACUAUAGUAUUAUGUAAUCUAUUGUGCGUAGCCUCGUUGUUCGGUCGAGUCUGGCCGAGUGUUCUUGAUCAGAGGGAUGAGUCUAAGGUUAUGUAUGUACUGUUUGAAGGAAUUAGUGAGUUCUUGAUUUGUUGACGAUGAUGCUAGUCAUUUUAAUUAUAAAGCCAUUUAAUUUUGUCUCUGCCAGUAUUAUGUUACCUAAUUCCAGAAUUUGAUUGAAAAUAAGAAGAUGAAAAAUUGAAAAUUGUACAGAUCUCCACCAUAUAACUUUUUUUAAAGACCCAUUGAGAUAACAUGUUCCUAGAGGGUAUGAAGGAAACCUACCUCAUGAAAAGAGUGGUUCUACUUCUAUGGUGUAUAUACCUACCGAGAAAAAAAAAAAUCAGCUUCCGAGUUCAACGCAACGGAUGGGUCAUCAUAGUUCCAUUGCUACUGGGAGAAAUACCAGAGAGAACUGUCUUAUGCAGAAAGACAUGGUAACAGUUUUGAGGCCAUACAUUGAGCUUACAAAUGCUGUUCAUAGGAAUGUUGCUCACAAGCUGAGGUUGGACUUGCCAAACCCUGUGGCGGAUGCUGAGAACUUUGUAGCCAACCCAAUCUGAGAUGGUGCCAUUUGAAUGCAACUUUGGACCAUGCAAAUGGCUGGAUGGUAUCAAAGGGACUGGGGAUGUUUACUCCACAAAUGAACCUCAAGCUGCUUUCAACUUGAGGAUUCCCUUCUGCCUCAACAUGCAUAAUGAGGCUGUGUGCACACUGCACACUGCGGUUCCUCCAAAUUCACAUAAGAAGAAAAAGCAAAGUGCAGAAAAUAGGAGGGAGAGGCACCAACUGGAGCAGGAGCUUGUAAAGCAUAUUGCCGAGGAGGAUGAUGAUUAGACAGGACCAUUCCCCGUAUUUGUAAAAGCUGGUGUUGGUAGGUUGUACAAUAAAAAUGAUAACGACAAACAUGUUUGGUGCAUUAAAAGAUGGUUCUGAUUUUGUUGCAUUUUGAGAGAUUGGUUGGUCGCCUCACUUUUAAGACUGCUUUUUAUUUUUUGAGUUGAGACGGAAUGUUUAAUCCGAGAUCAGUUGAGCAUAGCAAGCCGGAAA